rnacentral:lncRNA from 1 species
CCAAACUUAAAAAAUCCCACUACCUCCCUCUAAACCACCACAAAAUCCCAACUUGUGGCCAAAACCAAUCAAUACCCAUCAAAGAAAAUAAGAACACAAAGUGAAGAAACACUGUUUUUUUUCCUUUCCAAUUCUCCAUGCUCAUAAUAUAAUGUUUGAAAAAUGGAGUAAAGCUAUGGCUACCAAAAAAGCUUGGAAAACUCAGUCGCAUGUGUACUUAAUUAAUGGUAGCUCUGAAAACAACCCAAUUCAGGCGCUCAAACAUGUGGUGGGGACCUUUGGCUUAAGACAUACUCAUUGCUCUCUGGAAGUGAGUUUCGGAGAAACUUUAAAGAAUUCUGUAACACAAUGUCCAAAAAGAUAAUACUGCGGAGGACUUACCGUUUUUACUUGGUGACGACUUUUUCAAGUAAAAGCUACAACAACUACUUGUUUGUCCAGCAACGCCUUGUUCAUGAACUACUUAGCUUCUGAU